UGAGCCAACGCUAGCCCUAUAUAAUUCCAUUAAACCAUAAAAAUUUAUUAAACUAAAACAUUCACCUUAUAUUUAAAGUAUAGGAGAUAGAAAUUUAUUUCAGGCGCCAUAGAAAAAGUACCGUAAGGGAAAGAUGAAAGAAUUAUUGACAGCAUAAGAAAGCAGAGAUUAACACUCUUACCUUUUGCAUAAUGAGUUAGCCAGAAGAUCUUUAGCAAAAAGAAUUUUAGUUAAAAACCCCGAAACCAGACGAGCUAUCUACGAGCAG
rnacentral:rRNA from 1 species